CCCCCAAGUGGUUUCCGCAAAUUCCUUCAUGCACUUCCCACAAGGCGUAGUCAGCUUCCGAGGGCCGGAGACAUUUUAAGAGGGGUAAAGAGUAUGAUCUCUUGUACAGUUUGCCCUCAUAAAGGAGGUAUCUCGAGGCUUGAUUUCGGAGCUUUCGAGCUUCUUUCGCAUCCUGGGGGAGGACUUCAUCUCUGAGAUAGAUUAUCAGUGGGUCGAUCCAGCUGGGUUCGUGGUCAAUCUCCAUCACGGGCCGCGACUCCUCUGUACUCG
rnacentral:lncRNA from 1 species